GGUAGCUCAGCUGGAUAGAGCAACGGCCUUCUAAGCCGUGGGUCGCAGGUUCGAAUCCUGUCC
rnacentral:tRNA from 1 species